GUGGUCUUGGGCUGAAGCUGCAGCGUUGCCAGUCAUGGCUGUAUGCUGGAGCUCUGCCAAUAAUAAGACCUAGAAUAUAGCAGACUACACAGCUCUGGCAGUUACAGGUGUGAGCAUUCAUCCAGCUGUUUAAUGCUCAUGUAUGCUACUGCAAACACUU
rnacentral:scRNA from 1 species